GUAACAAGGUUUCCGUAGGUGAACCUGCGGAAGGAUCAUUAAUUAUGUUAAAGCGCCUUACCUUAGGGUUUCCUCUGGGGUAAGUGAUUGCUUCUACACUGUGAAAAUUUGGCUGAGAGACUCAGACUGGUCAUGGGUAGACCUAUCUGGGGUUUGAUCGAUGCCACUCCUGGUUUCAGGAGCACCCUUCAUAAUAAACCUAGAAAUUCAGUAUUAUAAAGUUUAAUAAAAAACAACUUUUAACAAUGGAUCUCUUGGUUCUCGCAUCGAUGAAGAACGUAGCAAAGUGCGAUAACUAGUGUGAAUUGCAUAUUCAGUGAAUCAUCGAGUCUUUGAACGCAGCUUGCACUCUAUGGUUUUUCUAUAGAGUACGCCUGCUUCAGUAUCAUCACAAACCCACACAUAACAUUUGUUUAUGUGGUGAUGGGUCGCAUCGCUGUUUUAUUACAGUGAGCACCUAAAAUGUGUGUGAUUUUCUGUCUGGCUUGCUAGGCAGGAAUAUUACGCUGGUCUCAGGAUCUUUUUUUUUGGUUCGCCCAGGAAGUAAAGUACAAGAGUAUAAUCCAGUAACUUUCAAACUAUGAUCUGAAGUCAGGUGGGAUUACCCGCUGAACUUAAGCAUAUCAAUAA
rnacentral:misc_RNA from 1 species